rnacentral:rRNA from 1 species
GUCGACGAUGAUGCCCAGCUUGCUGGGCGGAUUAGUGGCGAACGGGUGAGUAAUACGUGAGUAACCUGCCCUUGACUCUGGGAUAAGCCUGGGAAACUGGGUCUAAUACUGGAUACUACCUCUUACCGCAUGGUGGGUGGUGGAAAGGGUUUUACUGGUUUUGGAUGGGCUCACGGCCUAUCAGCUUGUUGGUGGGGUAAUGGCUCACCAAGGCGACGACGGGUAGCCGGCCUGAGAGGGUGACCGGCCACACUGGGACUGAGACACGGCCCAGACUCCUACGGGAGGCAGCAGUGGGGAAUAUUGCACAAUGGGCGGAAGCCUGAUGCAGCGACGCCGCGUGAGGGAUGACGGCCUUCGGGUUGUAAACCUCUUUCAGUAGGGAAGAAGCGAGAGUGACGGUACCUGCAGAAGAAGCGCCGGCUAACUACGUGCCAGCAGCCGCGGUAAUACGUAGGGCGCAAGCGUUGUCCGGAAUUAUUGGGCGUAAAGAGCUCGUAGGCGGUUUGUCGCGUCUGCUGUGAAAGCCCGGGGCUCAACCCCGGGUCUGCAGUGGGUACGGGCAGACUAGAGUGCAGUAGGGGAGACUGGAAUUCCUGGUGUAGCGGUGAAAUGC